UACGUAGGGUGCAAGCGUUGUCCGGAAUCACUGGGCGUAAAGGGCGCGUAGGCGGCCCGGUAAGUCGGGGGUGAAAUCCUGCGGCUUAACCGCAGGGCUGCCUUCUAAACUGUCGGGCUCGAGCACGGUAGAGGCAGAUGGAAUUCCCGGUGUAGCGGUGGAAUGCGUAGAGAUCGGGAGGAAUACCAGUGGCGAAGGCGGCUGCCUGGCCUGUUCUUGACGCUGAGGCGCGAAAGCUGGGGGAGCAAACGGG
rnacentral:rRNA from 1 species